CGGCACCAGAACGCAGUCCAGAUCUUGUUGGUUCAUGGCGAGGAGAAGAUGAUAGAGGAGGAAGAAGCCUUUUGUUCCGAACACUGUCUUGGAAGGUCGUAUUUGGCCGUCACCGCCACUCCGUUAAAUAACCACGUAGAUCACGGCCACACUGACAUUUGCAGCUGCUUGUGCAUCUUCCGGCAUUACAGUAUUGAUCGGCAAUGAUCUCAACAUAUGCUCACAGAACCACUGCACGAGCUUCGAGACUGCAACGGCGAUGGCUUUCAUCAGUUGGUUUGCAGUCUGCCCAUCAUUUCUCAUGAACUUCUGGUCACUGGCGUGUAGGUGAAAAGCAAGAAUGGCUGCUCCUAAUUGCCAAUUUUUGGUGUGCCCUUGAAGAUUUCUUUUUCUCCCCCAUUUAUCAACAGUCAAAUUGCCAUUACUGUCAAUCUGUAUAGUAUGAAUUCCUGGGUGUGAUUGUGCAAGAUAUCAGAUGAAAUGUACAACUUUGGAAGCCUCCAUUCUCUACAUUUGUUGCUCACUGGACAUUGACCUCAUUGUUUCAGUCAUUCAACCUUUGUUCUUUAAAUGA